AAUUCGCCCUUAGAGUUUGAUCCUGGCUCAGGACGAACGCUGGCGGCGUGCCUAACACAUGCAAGUCGAACGGAGAUGUUUAUUUCGGUAGACAUCUUAGUGGCGCACGGGUGAGUAACGCGUGAAUAACCUGACCCGAAGAGGGGGAUAACACCUGGAAACAAGUGCUAAUACCGCAUAAGACCACGGACCGGCAUCGGUCAGAGGUCAAAGGAGGAAUCCGCUUUGGGAGGGGUUCGCGUCCCAUUAGGUAGUUGGUGAGGUAACGGCCCACCAAGCCGACGAUGGGUAGCCGAGCUGAGAGGCUGAUCGGCCACACUGGAACUGAGACACGGUCCAGACUCCUACGGGAGGCAGCAGUGGGGAAUAUUGGGCAAUGGGCACAAGCCUGACCCAGCAACGCCGCGUGAGGGAAGAAGGUUUUCGGAUUGUAAACCUCUGUCGCAGGGGACGAAGGAAGUGACGGUACCCUGUAAGAAAGCCCCGGCUAACUACGUGCCAGCAGCCGCGGUAAUACGUAGGGGGCGAGCGUUGUCCGGAAUUACUGGGCGUAAAGGGAGCGUAGGCGGUCGAUUAAGUUAGAUGUGAAACCCCCGGGCUUAACUUGGGGACUGCAUCUAAUACUGGUUGACUUAGAGUACAGGAGAGGGAAGCGGAAUUCCUAGUGUAGCGGUGAAAUGCGUAGAUAUUAGGAGGAACACCAGUGGCGAAGGCGGCUUUCUGGACUGACACUGACGCUGAGGCUCGAAAGCGUGGGGAGCAAACAGGAUUAGAUACCCUGGUAGUCCACGCCGUAAACGAUGAUACUAGGUGUAGGGGGUAUCAACUCCCUCUGUGCCGCAGCAAACGCAAUAAGUAUUCCGCCUGGGGAGUACGGCCGCAAGGUUGAAACUCAAAUGAAUUGAC
rnacentral:rRNA from 1 species